rnacentral:rRNA from 2 species
UCGAGAAUCAUUCACAAUGGGCGAAAGCCUGAUGGUGCGACGCCGCGUGGGGGAGGAAGGUCUUCGGAUUGUAAACCCCUGUCAUGUGGGAGCAAGACUUCGGUUUGAUAGUACCACAAGAGGAAGAGACGGCAAACUCUGUGCCAGCAGCCGCGGUAAUACAGAGGUCUCAAGCGUUGUUCGGAAUCACUGGGCGUAAAGGGUACGUAGGCGGCAUCAUAAGUCGUGCGUGAAAGGCAGGGGCUCAACCUCUGGAGUGCGCGUGAUACUGUGAUGCUGGAGUAAUGGAGGGGGAACCGGAAUUCUUGGUGUAGCAGUGAAAUGCGUAGAUAUCAAGAAGAAGACUCGUGGCGAAGGCGGGUUCCUGGACAUUUACUGACGCUGAGGUACGAAGGCCAGGGUAGCGAAAGGG